AUAUUAUAUUUCACGAAUAACCACAUUUAUUUAUGAUUUUACCUAUAUCGCGUGGAUAGAAUAAAAAUUGCGUGUUGCAAAUGUCAAAGGUAUAUUCUUAGAACUUAGAUGUAUCAUUAAAUAGAGCAUACAAUAUUUUGCAAAACUUUUUAAAAAUGUAUUUGCACGUUAAUGGUUAAAAUAUAACAAAAAGGAAAACAAUUUUUUUUUUUGCUUUAUACAAAAGUAUUUUUUUUUACAUUAGUUGUACUUACUACAAAAUGUACAUGUCUCUACAGUUUAAUGUGUAUAUACUAUGUAAACCUCUAUUUUGGUUUAAACUUGCACCUAACGAAAGACUUCCAUUGUGAAGCCUCUUUUGACCUACCUGGGAAUAUCCUAUUUUAGUCUUCAAAUCACUUUCUUUACUCCUUUCAUAAAAAAGGAAGUAUUUUGACCUUCUGAGAAUAUUACUCUUUUUUUCCACUACCAAUUGGGUAAGGGCGGAUUUGAUUUGUCUUCUACUUAGAGGCAAUAUCCUUUCGGUAAAAAUGGUGAAUAGCUUUCGUCAGUGGCGUUACUGGGUUAAGAUUUUCGGUGUUGUAAAAUGUUUUUUAUGAUCAGUGAUAUUAAAAUAUUAAUAUCCUCUUACCUGAUCUUAUUGAGGUCUCCUCUUAUAAGUUCAUCAAUCGUUGCAAGCUCAGCCAGACGAUCGAGCGAUCGAGUGCAACUAACGUUCUAACAAUAGACGCGUGCUCCUUGCAAAAUUUGGUAUUUGGUAAUGUUAUAACUUUGUGAUUCGCGUACGUAAUGACGAUAGUUUCGUAUUAUCGGAUCGGGCUUCUAAGGCUACGGCGUGUAUUUCGGUUAUAGAUUUCAACGCACGGUGACGCAUAGCAACAGUCAACGACGACGAAA